CAUGAGCCAGCAGCGAUCACAGUGAGACGAGCUAUCAGCUCUCGGUGCAGUAGGCAGCGCAGCGACAUCAGCGCCCAUUCCUCGCGCGCAGACCUCCCGCAGCCCCUGGCAAUGCCUGCCUCCCCGGCGGGUCCCUUCGCGCUAAGUCUUGCUGGUUUUGUAGCUAAGCUGUGCGAUAGCCCUGACCUUCCCUCGCUCCCCUUCUCCGCCUGCAGCGACAGCGGAACCUCUUCUCUCGCAGCAAGAAUAGAAAAAAAUAAGCAGCAAGGUUCCUAACCAAGGGGUCAUGGAAAGUCAGAUUACGCACCGCAAAGAAAAACAUGGAAAAAUUCAAAAAGGAGAGGACAGAGAAACCCAUUGGACCAGAAAAUUCACACCGGUGAAGCAGAAGCCAUCCAAGGAGUUGAGGCCCAUGCUGGGGGCCGUCACGCUGGGCCUCAUCCUGUUCAUCGCGGCGGUGGUGGCCUGGUGCUACUACACGGUGUCCCUGCGGAAGGCGGAAAGUGUACAUGGCACUUGUUUUCUCUAUCACUUUGUGCAGAGGAGUGGGAAGAAAGUUGUCUCCGCAGCCAGGUUGGGAUUCUCAGGAGAAGAAAAUAGAGAGUUCCCACCUCCACCGAGACCCAGAGCACACGUCUCUGAAAAAGAAGAGGAUAAAUAUAGUCUGGGAAGAACCUCUGAACCAAGGGAUCAC
rnacentral:lncRNA from 1 species